rnacentral:rRNA from 1 species
UACGAAGGGGGCUAGCGUUGCUCGGAAUCACCGUGGCGUAAAGCGCACGUAGGCGGAUUGUUAAGUCAGGGGUGAAAUCCUGGAGCUCAACUCCAGAACUGCCUUUGAUACUGGCGAUCUCGAGUCCGGGAGAGGUGAGUGGAACUGCGAGUGUAGAGGUGAAAUUCGUAGAUAUUCGCAAGAACACCAGUGGCGAAGGCGGCUCACUGGCCCGGUACUGACGCUGAGGUGCGAAAGCGUGGGAGCAACAGGG